rnacentral:lncRNA from 1 species
UUCUCUUCCAACUCUACUACUUCAAGUCCAACAAAAAGAUACCCACUCCAUAGAAGUAACCUUGCUGGAAAUUAUAGACUUCAAUAAGGAUCAUGAUAACCAAGAAAGGGAGAAAAGAACUCAUCUUAAGAAAGGAGUCCAAGAACGACAUACAUUCAAACAAGGGAGCCUUUUCAAAGCCAAAGUUCUCUUAAUGAGCCCU